rnacentral:tRNA from 1 species
GCCUGUGUGCUCAAUGGUAGAGCAUUGUCUGGGGCACCAAAGAGUCUUGGGUUUGAAUCCCAGUCAAGGGCA